rnacentral:rRNA from 1 species
AGUCGAGCGGUAGCACAGAGAAGCUUGCUUCUUGGGUGACGAGCGGCGGACGGGUGAGUAAUGCAUAGGAAUCUGCCCGAUAGUGGGGGAUAACCUGGGGAAACCCAGGCUAAUACCGCAUACGUCCUACGGGAGAAAGGGGGCUUCGGCUCCCGCUAUUGGAUGAGCCUAUGUCGGAUUAGCUAGUUGGUGAGGUAAAGGCUCACCAAGGCGACGAUCCGUAGCUGGUCUGAGAGGAUGAUCAGCCACAUCGGGACUGAGACACGGCCCGAACUCCUACGGGAGGCAGCAGUGGGGAAUAUUGGACAAUGGGCGCAAGCCUGAUCCAGCCAUGCCGCGUGUGUGAAGAAGGCCUUCGGGUUGUAAAGCACUUUCAGCGAGGAAGAACGCCUAGCGGUUAAUACCCGCUAGGAAAGACAUCACUCGCAGAAGAAGCACCGGCUAACUCCGUGCCAGCAGCCGCGGUAAUACGGAGGGUGCGAGCGUUAAUCGGAAUUACUGGGCGUAAAGCGCGCGUAGGUGGCUUGAUAAGCCGGUUGUGAAAGCCCCGGGCUCAACCUGGGAACGGCAUCCGGAACUGUCAAGCUAGAGUGCACGAGAGGAAGGUAGAAUUCCCGGUGUAGCGGUGAAAUGCGUAGAGAUCGGGAGGAAUACCAGUGGCGAACGCGGCCUUCUGGACUGACACUGACACUGAGUGCGAAAGCGUGGGUAGCAAACAGGAUUAGAUACCCUGGUAGUCCACGCCGUAACGAUGUCGAUUUGGAGCUGUGUCCUUGAGACGUGGCU